rnacentral:lncRNA from 1 species
UCAACCCAUGACAUAAUUAGGUCGAGGCGUAGCGCGCGAAGAUAAGCCAACCAUAAUUAUGGCACGAUAAAAUAUUGGCGAAUUCAUCUUUUCUGUCUGCCGUUCUUACGGCAGAGGGUUGUACUGAUGGUACUGCUACAUCAUUCCCUACUAAAUUUUCGAAAAUUUGAUUGGUUUGGAACUGAAAUUGAAAAUUUCUUACCCAAAACCAAUCAAAUUUUCGAAGCUGAAAUUUAUCUGAAUUUCUGAAUAACCUUUCGCUUCCGGGGUCAUAUAGGGUCAUCGCCAGUGGCUCACUCUCUGUUUCCAGCACGUAAUUUCAAAAACUACGCCUGCUACUAGACCAUCAACGUUUUUAGACUCCGGUCUCCAGCAGAAGCUACUAAGAAAAUCCAAAACUUCAUAUAAAAUUCAUUAAAAUAAAACUAUAAUAAUAUCUACAAAACUUCGGCAAAAAUAUGUACAAGAAUAAAGAAGAGCUAAAAAAGAAUAUAUUACAUGAGGAAAUGAUAUAAAAAACUGCAACUUCAAAAAAUAAACUGUUUACAAAAUUAAUCAUCAAGUGAUCUUUUACUGAAAAAAAAAACCAAAAAAAACAUAUUGAGAACUGACUUUGACGUAUCCUGGUAGCUGGCAUCGCAAACAUUCUAACAAUCAUCAAAAAAAAUCUCACCAUAAAAACAUACCCAAAAAAAUCAGCAACGACCUUCUACCUCAGUGAUAAACACCAAAAACCAAAGAGUCGCUCUAUUCAAACUAUCACCUUAAGUGAAAAAAAAUUAUCCGACAAAUUUAACGAGUGUUCAAACCUCAGAAGAAAAUUUCCCAAGAAAACAGAACAUCAUAAAAUUUGUCUUAAAAAAAAUGGUCUGUUCUAAGCAACAGAAAACUACCUCGGGAUAACCCCAAAAAACCGUUUUCAUGAAGUUUAAAACUCAAAUUCACAACAAUCUCUAACAUUAAUUUGCAUUAAUUACGAAACUGUUCAUGAAACAACAAACAUAAAAAACUGCAUUGACGUACCCCUCGUCCAUCCUGAAUGAACAAGUGUUCAUUUUCACGUUCACCCUGUUACCAGUCUACCAGUCAACGGGAUGUAAACAAAGUGCGUGUAAUGAAAAUUUAAGUGUCGGGAAAAAAUGUCUUUAUCGCGGAAAAAAGUGGUUUUGUGCUCGGAAAAACUGCUCUACUGGUGGAAAAUCGAAAAGGAAAGUGAAAUUUAAUGUGUCGCUACUUGUGUUUGGCUGUAAAAAAGGUAUUUUUCUCUAUUUUAUUUUCAGGCGCAGGCUGCAGAAGGCGGCCACAAAACCUGGAUGAACACGCGGACCAAAAAGAAUGAUACUAAAAAUAGCGCAGAUGCUUGUCGGCAAAGUAGAGCUUUCGCUCACUCUGCAACGUGAACUUGCGGCACGAAUGAAAAAAAAAAAAAAAUACAAUGUUUACCUACAACUACAAAAGAGGAUCGAUCCAGAAGAACUGCAAAGGAGAAAAGAUCGGUAAAGCAAACCGCUCUACGUAAACAAAACUACUUCAUCGACCAUAAUCAACACCAAUUAGAAAUUAUGCUGAUAUUAUGGAAGCAACUAUUUACCUCCGAUGGAAAAACUUACUGCGAGGGAAAAUUCAAUGAAAAGCAAGGUAAUUUGAGUACUAAUUAGCACAAUUCACUCAAUAUUUACAAAAAACUAAUGCCAGAAUGUGUCAGUUUUAGGUGAACAUCAACCUGGACCACCACUGGAGAAAAUUCAUCGGAAAAAAUAUACAAAAUGGAAAAAUAUGUACAAAAUGGAAAAGGAUGAGAAAUAUUUACAAGGAAAAAAAUAAUCAGAUGGAAAAACUUCGAAAAAUCAACAAACAGCUGCACACUGUCCCCUGUGCAAAACCGUGAAUAGUUUUCAAGUUUCCUAACAAAAUUCAAUAGAAUAAGUACUAAAACUAGAAUUAACUUAGGUACACUACUAACUAUACUUUUACUAACUAAAUUAUGUCUAAAUAUUUACAAAUUUGUACAAAUUCCGUCGUUUUGGCGUGAAUUUUCGAUGCUGUUCGGUCAAUACGAUCGUUUGGUACUCGCUUUACUUCUUUCGCCUGAUUCAGGCCACGACUCAUUCGAUAUCAUCGUUUAGUCUCCCGUUAAACAGUCAUGAAUCGAGUUCACUACUCUGGGCCGGUCAUCGACUUAACUCAAUCUUAUUUGUGGAAUGAAAAGCUUUCCCGCGUUCAAGGGUUUAAUUGAUCGAAUUAACCUCCCAUUAUCAAAUCAUCUGCCUCGACAGGAGUCAAAAUCGGUGGAUUUUUGUGGUUAAAAAUUUCCCAUUAACGGUAUUUUUGAAAAUUCGUUCAUUUUAGAAUCUGUGGUCACUUUUGAAUGGUGAUAAAAGUUACAUAGCUUGUUGGGUCAUACUAUUUACAAAUUUCGUCAAAAUCAGUCAGCAGAUUUCAGCUUUUUUAGCUGGUCUGUGAAGUAAACUCCAAUUCUUUUUCCCUCGUCAGUUUCCAACUCGUAGGUGUUACUUCCCAGAACCUUCUUCACCACGCACGGCUCGUACUUAGGGGCCAGCUUCUUACAAAACCCUGCUCCUUUGUCGGACAGGUCGAAUGUCUUCUUGAGGACCUUUUCCCCCACGGCGUACUUCGGGCAAUUCGAGCUAGAUCGCAGGUUGUACUGCUUUGCGUGGCGCUGAUACGCGGCCGCCAGGUUCCUCUUCACGUCUUCGAACAGCUUCUUCCUCUGCGCUGAGACUUCCGUCUCCUUUUCAAUUUCAGUUCCAAACCAAUCAAAUUUUCGAAAAUUUAGUAGGGAAGGAUGUAAUAAGGUGCCCUUUUACAGAAAAAAUCGAUCGAAGAACCCCUUGAUUAAUGUUUAGGAAAUGAAUUCCCCUUUCGAAAGCUCCCGCAAGUUCACGGCAGAGUUCAUUCGCGAACUCAGCCAUUCGUUCACUCACUAUGAGCUACCGUCCUAAACCGGACACCGUACUCUCGCGACGCGCACUCACAAAAUCAGAACUUUUACAAUCUUUUUUUCCUAGCCUCGUGAGAUUUCUAUACACGAAGGGCAAACUUCGUGGUUUCUGAAAAAAGGGCAAGCGGGAUGGCUAGAUUUCAAAACAUCAAGAGGGAAGGGAACAUGCUAUGGACUGAUCUGAAAAACUCAACAAUUCGACAGAAGAAGACAAAUUUGGUAAAAACUAAAGAACGAAGAAAUUUCGGGUUUGUAGUUUCCGAUAGCCAAAGUCUCGAUUCUGGCACCUCAUCUGAGGGUUCCUGACUUUGACUCGUCCACUUUGUCACCGACCGUGGUAGGAGCGGGAGUGAUUGCUAGUUUAGAGUUUGGAUGGUAAUUAGAGGACGUGACGUUUUGACCAAGUUCAGUGUUAACUUUUUUCGAAACCCUUUCCCUUAGAUCGUGAGGUGCUACAAAUCACCGACAGAGUAGGCUAGUUAGUUUGGCAAGGUAGAAUCGUGGAUUGUUGGCGAAACAAGUCCAGACUAGUUGGCCAGGUACUCUAUCCGGCGUCUUCGAAAUCUGCUGCUGCGCUACAACCCAUCCGUUUCGAACGUCCGUCGGAGAAACCCGCCGUCCACACCCGGUGGCAAAAAGACCCGGCAAGUCGCCACGUGCCGGAAGAAGCGUGACGUCACCAACGCGCUUUAGGUCAUCCCGUCGGGUCCAACACGUCCAUCCGGACCACGUGGGAGAUCAUCGAGGAACGACAACUUCCGGAACCGAACCCGGAUCUGCUGAACGACCGUCGGGGAUUCCCGACGCCGCUGCUGUAACAACCAACAACAGGUCAGACCGUGAGUAGUACCAAAAUCCAUGCGCAUGUGAUCACAGCCCCUGAGGGUACCCCAUGAAAAGCGCGCGCCGCGCAAAUGAACACGCACACGUAAAGCACGCAGCCCAAAACGUGCACUUGGGCGGAUAGGUAGGGAAAGGGAAGAGAGACAGGUUAGCCGAGACGGCUAAGGCGCCAGUAGGAAGAUGAACACGAAUUUACCGAAGAAGCUUGCAAGCGAGAUGGUCGCAGUUCGAAUCCCGUUGGGAUCAAACCGGUUUUUUGUGAACACCCCCCACGAUGUAAAUACACUUCGAUCGAAAUGAACAGUUUUCUGCAGUUUGAGCAAUAAAAAGCGACCAGGAGGUUUUCACUGGGUUUUGGGAUAAAAAAAAAAAAAAAAAAAAAAAAA